UGAAGCUCUACUCCUGCUUUCUGGGAGCACAUUGUUUGUCUACUUCAACUGGCAAAACUGAGUUGUCUCCAGAUUUGCUGGGCAUGUCACCGUGGGAUCUGUUAGAGCUGCUAUUUGUUCCUCUCAGCUUCUCACAGAGGCUCUGCACAGCCAGCUGGAUCCAUCUGAUAACUUGGUCUCGGCACAAAGACCACAACUAGUAGCAAGAUUGGCAGGAGUACAAGGAGGUGACUACAGCAGUCCCAGAUGUUAUUGGUUCUCCUGGUAUGUGGAACAAUAGAUGUUGAAAUUCCUCUCUCCAAAGACAGAGCGUUGGGCAGAAUGGUGCACAGAAUCCUCCUACAACAUCAACCAAGAAUACAGUAAGGAUCUUAUCCAGCGCUCAGCUGGUCACUGGCAGUUCAAGAACUGUGUUCAGUGACAUAAAACUGAAACACCUACGCGAUACAGGAUGACGCCAAUAGUGUUACAUAAAACUAGCUGCUCCAAUGUGAAAAUUGGUUCAGUGCAUCAAAUCUGCAAGAUCAGCACAGCUUUUGUUCAGUUCCGAAUUACCUCAAAAAGCAGCCAAGUGAACUGACCUGUCAGGGACAGAGGCACAAUGCAGCAGUGAAGGCAGCUGGAAUAAUAACAAUGCUAAGAGUUUGCCAAACCUCAAGCAAUGCCACUGUAAAUCACUUAUCUUUAAUCAGAUUCUUUCUCCACCAGACCUUCACUAAUUGCACCCUUCUCACUGGUCACCACAGGACCGCUAGCAAUGAAACAUUACUCAAUCCAUUCCAAAACAAAAAGCAGUACAUGACUUCUUAGUCUUCAGAUACCAAAUACAUUAGUUAUAAAAAUUCAUGAGUAGAAAGUUACAAAUACCAGCCUAUGCUUAACAAGUACCUAUUAGCUUUUUUUCAGGCCGUUACUGAUUUUAUUCUCAUUUUUAUUAAAAAAUGUUGUAUCUAUACUCAACAGUAAAUUUUCACUUUUUCAGGUACUUGACGCUCUGUAAGGCAGACGUUAAAUUAAAUGCUAAAAAAAAUCUUUCCAUUCUCAAGUCCCUAAACACAGAAAUAAAAGUUUUACAAAUACAAAGCCUUUUUUAGCUUUAUUAGUUAAGCACAUGUUAGGCAGCUGGAAGGAAGAAAACCAAAAGCCUCAUUUAAUCUGUUCUGCCAAGACACACAUCCCCAGACGAGAUCACACUACGGACAUCUGGACAGACUUACUGCUUCAGCCUCCU